UGAGUAACCUGCCCUUCACUCUGGGAUAACUCCGGGAAACCGGGGCUAAUACUGGAUAUGACUCGAACAGGCAUCUGUUUCGGGUGGAAAGAUUUAUUGGUGGAGGAUGGACUCGCGGCUUAUCAGCUUGUUGGUGAGAUAAUGGCUCACCAAGGCGACGACGGGUAGCUGGUCUGAGAGGAUGGCCAGCCACAUUGGGACUGAGACACGGCCCAGACUCCUAGGAGG
rnacentral:rRNA from 1 species